rnacentral:rRNA from 1 species
UACGUAGGGUGCGAGCGUUAAUCGGAAUUACUGGGCGUAAAGCGUGCGCAGGCGGUUCGUUAAGUUCGAUGUGAAAUCCCCAGGCUCAACCUGGGAACUGCAUGCAAAACUGGCAAGCUAGAGUAUGGUAGAGGGUGGUGGAAUUUCCUGUGUAGCGGUGAAAUGCGUAGAUAUAGGAAGGAACACCAGUGGCGAAGGCGACCACCUGGACUGAUACUGACACUGAGGUGCGAAAGCGUGGGGAGCAAACAGG